UUCAUUAACUGUAGAAGAAAAAAACAACCUAGCUUGGAUGAUUAUAUGUUAAUCAAAAACUACCCAAUCUGAACAAAUAAUUCCAAUUAAAGUCCCCAAAACUGUCCCAACAGUCCUGGUAUUGUUGUGAUCUUGAAUUCACGAGAGCAUCUUGCUGUGAUCAUUGGAUUUAUUUCUUCCAUGUUGUGUUUAUGUUAAAAGUCUGACUAUACAGCCAGAUAUUUCAAUAAAAAUGAUAAUAAACUGGACAGAUAGACAUUGAAUAUUUCAAGUGAUUCCUACUUGUGUGCCAUGUGCCUCAGGCCACACAGUAUAUCAGCACUCAACAAUUUAAAUGCAUGGCUAUAUAUAUCAUGAACAAUGUGACCUUCACAUUGCUUUACCUAGAACUAGCUUUUUCCACGAAUUUGUCAACUUGCUGGUAUUAAUAAAAUUUUAGUACACAGUAAUAUCUUGUUGAAGGAGUGUUGGUGUAUUCAAGAAAAUGUUUGGGAAAGUAGAAUGUGACAUUAAGAUGUAUCCCUAUUCCCUGUGCUUUGAAUAGUUUACCCCCAUGCAGCAUUCCCAACAAGUCAGGGAGUUAUAGGGCACAUGAUAUUUGGACUUUUAACAGUUUUUCAGGUAACAUAUGGAUAACCCUCUUCAUAUGAGAUUUGGAUUUCUCUGUAAACCUGUAUAUACCUUUCGUCCUUUCUCAAAUGGCUACCAACAGAAAAAGGCAACACACUUCACUGUAAUGACUUGACAAACUUUAUUAACUUCCAUAUCUCAUCCAUAAUUAUCAUAAAAAAUCUUCAAAUCAGGCCUAAAAAAAAUUGAAGUUUCCUGGAUUUCCUGUAAAUGCCAUCCUAAUCUUUGCUACAUCUAAAUAAACAAUAUCCAAGAUCUUUGUAUAUGAAUCACGUGUAAAUUAUGGAAAGAUGUGGAUAAAAUCUAAAAAACUACA